rnacentral:rRNA from 1 species
UACAGAGGUCCCGAGCGUUGUUCGGAUUCACUGGGCGUAAAGGGUGCGUAGGUGGUUGGGUAAGUUUGAUGUGAAAGCUCAGGGCUUAACCCUGAAAUGGCAUUGAAUACUACUUAACUGGAGGUUUGGAGGGGGGACUGGAAUUCUUGGUGUAGCAGUGAAAUGCGUAGAGAUCAGGGGGAACACCGAUGGCGAAGGCAGCGCUCUGGCCGAAGACCGACGCUGAGGCGCGAAAGCUGGGGGAGCGAACGGG